rnacentral:rRNA from 1 species
GUGGGGAAUCUUAGACAAUGGGCGCAAGCCUGAUCUAGCCAUGCCGCGUGAGCGAUGAAGGCCUUAGGGUUGUAAAGCUCUUUCAGGGGGGAAGAUAAUGACGGUACCCCCAGAAGAAGCCCCGGCUAACUCCGUGCCAGCAGCCGCGGUAAUACGAAGGGGGCUAGCGUUGUUCGGAAUUACUGGGCGUAAAGCGCACGUAGGCGGGUAUUUAAGUCAGGGGUGAAAUCCCGGAGCUCAACUCCGGAACUGCCUUUGAUACUGGGUACCUAGAGUAUGGAAGAGGUAAGUGGAAUUCCGAGUGUAGAGGUGAAAUUCGUAGAUAUUCGGAGGAACACCAGUGGCGAAGGCGGCUUACUGGUCCAUUACUGACGCUGAGGUGCGAAAGCGUGGGGAGCAAACAGGAUUAGAUACCCUUGUAGUCC